GACGAACGCUGGCGGCGUGCUUAACACAUGCAAGUCGAACGGAAAGGCCCUGCUUUUGUGGGGUGCUCGAGUGGCGAACGGGUGAGUAACACGUGAGUAACCUGCCCUUGACUUUGGGAUAACUUCAGGAAACUGGGGCUAAUACCGGAUAGGAGCUCCUGCUGCAUGGUGGGGGUUGGAAAGUUUCGGCGGUUGGGGAUGGACUCGCGGCUUAUCAGCUUGUUGGUGGGGUAGUGGCUUACCAAGGCUUUGACGGGUAGCCGGCCUGAGAGGGUGACCGGCCACAUUGGGACUGAGACACGGCCCAGACACCUACGGGAGGCAGCAGUGGGGAAUAUUGCACAAUGGGCGGAAGCCUGAUGCAGCAACGCCGCGUGCGGGAUGACGGCCUUCGGGUUGUAAACCGCUUUCGCCUGUGACGAAGCGUGAGUGACGGUAAUGGGUAAAGAAGCACCGGCUAACUACGUG
rnacentral:rRNA from 1 species